rnacentral:rRNA from 1 species
GUAGGUGGCAAGCGUUGUCCGGAAUUAUUGGGCGUAAAGCGCGCGCAGGCGGUUUCUUAAGUCUGAUGUGAAAGCCCACGGCUCAACCGUGGAGGGUCAUUGGAAACUGGGGAACUUGAGUGCAGAAGAGGAAAGUGGAAUUCCACGUGUAGCGGUGAAAUGCGUAGAGAUGUGGAGGAACACCAGUGGCGAAGGCGACUUUCUGGUCUGUAACUGACGCUGAGGCGCGAAAGCGUGGGGAGCAAACAGGGAUUAGAUACCCUGGUAGUCCACGCCGUAAACGAUGAGUGCUAAGUGUUAGAGGGUUUCCGCCCUUUAGUGCUGCAGCUAACGCAUUAAGCACUCCGCCUGGGAGUACGGUCGCAAGACUG